rnacentral:misc_RNA from 1 species
AUGAAGAACGUAGCGAAAUGCGAUAAGUAAUGUGAAUUGCAGAAUUCAGUGAAUCAUCGAAUCUUUGAACGCACAUUGCGCCCGCCAGUAUUCUGGCGGGCAUGCCUGUUCGAGCGUCAUUUCAACCAUCAAGCCCCAGGCUUGUGUUGGGGACCUGCGGCUGCCGCAGGCCCUGAAAACCAGUGGCGGGCUCGCUGUCACACCGGGCGUAGUAGAUUUUAUCUCGCUCAGGGCGUGCUGCGGGUUCCGGCCGUUAAAAAGCCUUUUUUACCCAAGGUUGACCUCGGAUCAGGUAGGAAGACCCGCUGAACUUAAGCAUAUCAAUAACGGAGGA